rnacentral:rRNA from 1 species
UAAAGAAUUUCGGUAUGGGAUGGGGAUGCGUUCCAUUAGUUAGUUGGCGGGGUAACGGCCCACCAAGACAACGAUGGAUAGGGGUUCUGAGAGGAAGGUCCCCCACAUUGGAACUGAGACACGGUCCAAACUCCUACGGGAGGCAGCAGUGAGGAAUAUUGGUCAAUGGACGAGAGUCUGAACCAGCCAAGUAGCGUGAAGGAUGACUGCCCUAUGGGUUGUAAACUUCUUUUAUAUGGGAAUAAAAUGUUCCACGUGUGGGAUUUUGUAUGUACCAUAUGAAUAAGGAUCGGCUAACUCCGUGCCAGCAGCCGCGGUAAUACGGAGGAUCCGAGCGUUAUCCGGAUUUAUUGGGUUUAAAGGGAGCGUAGGUGGAUUGUUAAGUCAGUUGUGAAAGUUUGCGGCUCAACCGUAAAAUUGCAGUUGAAACUGGCAGUCUUGAGUACAGUAGAGGUGGGCGGAAUUCGUGGUGUAGCGGUGAAAUGCUUAGAUAUCACGAAGAACUCCGAUUGCGAAGGCAGCUCACUGGACUGCAACUGACACUGAGGCUCGAAAGUGUGGGUAUCAAACAGGAUUAGAUACCCUGGUAGUCCACACAGUAAACGAUGAAUACUCGCUGUUUGCGAUAUACUGUAA